CACAUGCAUUGCCGAACGCUUUGUGGUUCAACUGAUUUGAAGAGCUUGCUCAGAUAUGACGAUGGACAUUGCAAAGAGUGGCGAACGGGUGAGUAACACGUGGGAAACCUACCUCUUAGCAGGGGAUAACAUUUGGAAACAGAUGCUAAUACCGUAUAACAAUAGCAACCGCAUGGUUGCUACUUAAAAGAUGGUUCUGCUAUCACUAAGAGAUGGUCCCGCGGUGCAUUAGUUAGUUGGUGAGGUAAUGGCUCACCAAGACGAUGAUGCAUAGCCGAGUUGAGAGACUGAUCGGCCACAAUGGGACUGAGACACGGCCCAUACUCCUACGGGAGGCAGCAGUAGGGAAUCUUCCACAAUGGGCGAAAGCCUGAUGGAGCAACGCCGCGUGUGUGAUGAAGGGUUUCGGCU
rnacentral:rRNA from 1 species